rnacentral:snRNA from 1 species
AAUAUCAACAAAACAUAUA